GCCGCCGCUGCUCCGCCCCCCCCCCCCCCGCCCCCCGACCUCGACUCCCGUGGGCUCUCCGCCGCCGCUUCGCCCACCCACCGCCGCGUCGCCGGUCCGGCCGCCGUCGCCACUGCUUCCCCGGACGACCUCGACUCCCGCGGGCUCUUCGCCGCCGCCUCGCCGGCUUCACGCGCUGCCGCUCGGGCCGCCGUCGCCCUGCCGACUUCGCGCGCCACCGCUCCGGUCUUCUCUUGCAGACUGCAGAGCAGGGGAGAUUGAGAGAGGGGGACAGAGAGAAGAGAGAGGAGUAAGGAUGACAUGUGGGACCCGCGUGGGUCCCGCCAUUUUUUAUUAUUUGGUGUGUGAAACUGACAUGUGGGUCCCAUGAUUUUAUAUUUUUUUAUUUAUAUUGCCACGUAAGCGCCACGUCGAUGCCACAUGGGAUGAAGACCUAGUCAAAGCAGCCACGUAGGCGCCACAUCAGCCAAAACCAGGCACAAUACUACCAAGGGACCUCGUUUGCACGGUUUUGUAAGUUGAAGGAUCCGUUCUACCCGGUUUUGCACUCAAGAGACGAAUUUCGGACUCGGCAAAAAAAUUGAGGGAACUAAAGUGAACUUAUUCCUUGGAAAUAUGGGUAACUGGCGAGGCUGAGAGUAGCUUUCGGCCUUGGCCCAUUAGCCCAUGGGCCUUUUGCGAGUUCACGUCCUCUCUGUUGCUCCACCCCACGGAGUAAGUUCACUUUAGGUCCCUUAACUUGUCAACGAAUCCGAUUUUCGUCCUCCAUCCGCAAAACCAGAUACAACGGGUCCCUUAACUUACAAAACCGGUGCAAAUUUCGUCCUAAGGCAGUAUGGCUAGCGGUUUAGUCCGACGUGGCGCUUUGACUUGUCGUACGUGGCGCUUUGACCGCUGAGUCAGCACGGCCGUUGGGGAAUAAAGGCUUCUCGCGCAUUCGGCGCCAAUCCUCUCACAUUUCAGAAACCCUAGCUUUUCGGCGUGUAGGUUGCAGCGAUUCGGACGGCGGCGGCGUCGUGAUUCGGACGGCGGAGGAGCGGCGAUGGGAAGCUCAAGGAGUGAGGGGUCGUCGUCGUCUUCGGCCAGGCAACCGUAUGGCUCGCCUAUUCCCUAUCGCGUUGGUCCGUUCGAGUACGAACCAGCGGUGCUGUGUCGGUGCGAACUGAAGGCGGCGAGGUGGAUAUCUUGGAGCGUCGACAACCCUGGUUGUCGGUAUUUCAAGUGCCGCAAUGCUCGGGUGCUGUGCAUUCUCUGAGGAGGGAGAAGGCAGAUGCAGUGAAGGAGGUUGAGGAACUUCGUGUGAAGUCUGAAGAGCAAUGCAGGGAGUUUGCUUCAGUUGGGAGGGAGUUGGCUUUAGUGAGGGAGUUGGUUAGUGAGUUGGAUGUGAAAAAUGCUGUUUUAAUUGAUAGCAAAUGUAGGUUAGAGAAGGAGCGAACUGUGCUCAUUUGGUGCAUCCUGUCAUGUAUGUGUGUUGUUAUUCUAUUAGUGCUGGGCAAGAACUGAUAUUGUGUGGGCAUGGCCUCAAUGUUUGAUGGAAAAAAAAUGUGUGGCAGAACUGUGAGGUGCAAAAAUUUAUCAAUGAAAUGUGAAGUUCUGAAUGUCU